UGGGGAAUCUUCCGCAAUGGGCGAAAGCCUGACGGAGCAACGCCGCGUGAGUGAGGAAGGCCUUCGGGUCGUAAAACUCUGUCUUCAGGGAAGAAAAAAAUGACGGUACCUGAGGAGGAAGCCCCGGCUAACUACGUGCCAGCAGCCGCGGUAAAACGUAGGGGGCGAGCGUUGUCCGGAAUUACUGGGCGUAAAGGGCGCGUAGGCGGUUAUUUAAGUCAGAGGUGAAAACUACCGGCUCAACCGGUAGCCUGCCUUUGAAACUGGAUGACUUGAGGGCAGGAGAGGGGAGUGGAAUUCCCAGUGUAGCGGUGAAAUGCGUAGAUAUUGGGAGGAACACCAGUGGCGAAGGCGGCUCUCUGGCCUGUUUCUGACGCUGAGGCGCGAAAGCGUGGGGAGCAAACGGG
rnacentral:rRNA from 1 species